rnacentral:lncRNA from 1 species
CUCCAAGUUAUCCAAGAACACUAUUCACAUUCAGUUUAGCAGCACGGUACAGAUAUUUUUCGUCUGCCCUGUCUCUCACAGAAAAUUUUAAAUCUUCUGUUUUCGCUUCCAUUUCAACACGGGUCACUCUAGACUUAUAAUUUAUGUCUAUAAGUCCAAUAAAAAUAGUAUCCCCACUAUUUUUAUUUAUUUCCACUUUUACAUUUAAAAUCCGGUACCUUACAAUUAGACUACUCAGUUGCGCCCUAACAGUAUAACUUUGCAACGAGUACUUUUUCUCAUUCUAUCGAAUAAGGAGUAAACCAAUUAUAUUGUUCUAUUAUACCCCGAGAGUGUAAAUUUGGAACGAAUCGAUGUCAACGUUCACAAGAAUCAAAACCGGAACAACAUUAGACUAUUCAGUAGCGCACUAACAGUAUAACUUUGCAAGGAGUACUUUUUCUUAUUCUAUCGAACAGAGAGUAAAACCUAAUUAUAUUGUUCUAUUAUGCCCCGAGAGUGUAAAUUUGGAACGAAUCGAUUAAACGUUCACAAGAACCAAAACAGGAACAAAGUUAGGCAACUCAGUUGAGCCCUAAAAGUAUAACUUUACAACUAGUACUUUUUCUCAUUCAAUCGAACAAAGAGCAAAACCUAAUUUUAUUGUUCUAUUAUGCCACGGGAGUGUAAAUUUGGAACGAAUCGAUGUCAACGUUCACUAGACCCAAAACCGGAACAACAUUAGACAACUCAGUUGUCCCAUAACAGUAUAACUUUGCAACGAGUACUUUUUCUCAUUCUAUCGAAUAAGGAGUAAAAGCUUUCUAUUAUGCCCUGAGAGUGUAAAUUGAACGAAUCGAUGUCAACGUUCACAAGAACCAAAAUUGGAACAAAGUUAGGCUACUCAGUUGAGCCCUAAUAGUAUAACUUUGCAACCAGUACAUUUUUUCAUUCAAUCGAACAA